rnacentral:rRNA from 1 species
ACACAUGCAAGUCGUAACGCUGAAGCCUAGGUGCUUGCACCGGGUGGAUGAGUGGCGAACGGGUGAGUAACACGUGAGUAACCUGCCCCUGACUUCGGGAUAAGCCCGGGAAACUGGGUCUAAUACCGGAUACGACUGCCGGACGCAUGUCUGGUGGUGGAAAGUUUUUUCGGUUGGGGAUGGGCUCGCGGCCUAUCAGUUUGUUGGUGAGGUAAUGGCUCACCAAGACGACGACGGGUAGCCGGCCUGAGAGGGCGACCGGCCACACUGGGACUGAGACACGGCCCAGACUCCUACGGGAGGCAGCAGUGGGGAAUAUUGCACAAUGGGGGAAACCCUGAUGCAGCGACGCAGCGUGCGGGAUGACGGCCUUCGGGUUGUAAACCGCUUUCAGCAGGGAAGAAGCGCAAGUGACGGUACCUGCAGAAGAAGUACCGGCUAACUACGUGCCAGCAGCCGCGGUAAUACGUAGGGUACGAGCGUUGUCCGGAAUUAUUGGGCGUAAAGAGCUCGUAGGUGGUUGGUCACGUCUGCUGUGGAAACGCAACGCUUAACGUUGCGCGUGCAGUGGGUACGGGCUGACUAGAGUGCAGUAGGGGAGUCUGGAAUUCCUGGUGUAGCGGUGAAAUGCGCAGAUAUCAGGAGGAACACCGGUGGCGAAGGCGGGACUCUGGGCUGUAACUGACACUGAGGAGCGAAAGCAUGGGGAGCGAACAGGAUUAGAUACCCUGGUAGUCCAUGCCGUAAACGUUGGGCACUAGGUGUGGGGGGCAUUCCACGUUCUCGCGCCACACGAAAACAUAAAACCCCCCC